UACGGGGGGGGGCAAGCGUUGUUCGGAAUUACUGGGCGUAAAGGGCUCGUAGGUGGCCAACUAAGUCAUACGUGAAAUCCCUCGGCUUAACCGGGGAACUGCGUCUGAUACUGGAUGGCUUGAGGUUGGGAGAGGGAUGCGGAAUUCCAGGUGUAGCGGUGAAAUGCGUAGAUAUCUGGAGGAACACCGGUGGCGAAGGCGGUUCUCUGGGCAUGUCCUGACGCUGAGGAGCGAAAGUGUGGGGAGCGAACAGG
rnacentral:rRNA from 1 species